AGAAAAGAUCAGCUGAAUGAGCAACUAAAAGAAUCUCAUACACUUGCAGAUUGUGGCAAUCCAAAUUUAGUCUGUACAUCAAGAUAAACUCCAGAAAGUGAAAUAGAAGAAAUGACACAGGGUUAUUGCAGUUAGUAAAUAACUCGAACGUUUAAAGAGAAUCAUUACGCCAAACGCGUUGCAUCCCACAAACAGCACAAAAUAACUUCUAGGAUGUGCAAAUUGUCCUAAAUUUCACCUAGCUAUAUAGAAGUCAAAACUUUGCAUGUACGCCUUUGCGAUACCAUGCAGAAGUAUCAUACACGAAUUACCCUUCAUAAAUGCUGUCUAAUUCCACAAUAAUCAAGAAUCAGACCGGAAGAUGCAGCCAGACGAGAAUCCAACAUCAAGAAUUGAAUGACGAGCUGAAACUCCAUCGUUUUUGUUCACAGAAGUCAAUGUUUCAGCUGCAAAAACAACUAUGUACACUAGUGACUCUGAAUUAUAUGUUACAAAGCGUAAGCUUACAGCAACUACGCUCUUUUCGCAUCUUACACAGGAAGAUUGUCCAAUGGUGAAUAUCCAUCAAAGCCAAAUUCAGUUUCAACUUGUCCGACACUUUCUUGCUGCUUCAGAAGGGCACUCAUGAGAUCAUCCUGUCCAAAUUGCUCCGGGAAAAAUGUAUUUUGAUAGGUCGUAUCAGGAAGUUGUUCAGCUUUAACAGGAAGCAAAUUUCCGCCAGAAAAUAGGUUAAGUUGCGGUCCACCCAUAGGAGCAAUUCCAUUUGGUCCAUUCUUCUUCAUUGAAGAAAUACCUUGUUGAACUAACAUGGACGGUGAGACAUCUAGAGUUCCUGGUAUACUUGAAUGAUCAGAGGCACCGAAGUUUGAUCCGAUAUUCGGUAAACCCCAAUCCUGCGUUUUUUGCUGAUGCAACUCUUCAAAUAUAUCGUAACCAGGAGGGAAUCCUCUAGAUCCUUUAAUAUCAGAGUUAACUUCUUCCUGAAGCAAUCUUUUAGAUGUCAGAGUUGACAUCCCUGAAUUACUACUCACAAGAGGAAAACUGUUGUUUUGCAACUCAGUAGUUUGAUUCAGCGAGAAAUCUACUAUUGAAGAUGUUUGGGAGACUGGAU
rnacentral:misc_RNA from 1 species